UACGUAGGGCGCGAGCGUUGUCCGGAAUUAUUGGGCGUAAAGAGCUCGUAGGCGGCCUGUCGCGUCCGCUGUGAAAUCCCGGGGCUCAACCCCGGGCGGUGCAGUGGAUACGGGCAGACUAGAGUGAUGUAGGGGAGACUGGAAUUCCUGGUGUAGCGGUGAAAUGCGCAGAUAUCAGGAGGAACACCGAUGGCGAAGGCAGGUCUCUGGGCAUUAACUGACGCUGAGGAGCGAAAGCAUGGGGAGCGAACAGGA
rnacentral:rRNA from 1 species